rnacentral:rRNA from 1 species
GAUGAACGCUGGCGGCGUGCCUAAUACAUGCAAGUAGAACGCUGAAGCUUGGUGCUUGCACCGAGCGGAUGAGUUGCGAACGGGUGAGUAACGCGUAGGUAACCUGCCUCUUAGCGGGGGAUAACUAUUGGAAACGAUAGCUAAUACCGCAUAAAAGUCGACAUCGCAUGAUGUUGACUUGAAAGGUGCAAUUGCAUCACUAAGAGAUGGACCUGCGUUGUAUUAGCUAGUUGGUGAGGUAACGGCUCACCAAGGCGACGAUACAUAGCCGACCUGAGAGGGUGAUCGGCCACACUGGGAGUGAGACACGGCCCAGACUCCUACGGGAGGCAGCAGUAGGGAAUCGUCAGCAAUGGGGGCAACACUGACCGAGCAACGCCGCGUGAGUGAAGAAGGUUUUCGGAUCGUAAAGCACUGUUGUAAGAGAAGAACGAGUGUGAGAGUGGAAAGUUCACACUGUGACGGUAACUGACCAGAAAGGGACGGCUAACUACGUG